rnacentral:rRNA from 1 species
UACGUAGGGGGCAAGCGUUGUCCGGAAUCAUUGGGCGUAAAGAGCGUGUAGGCGGCCCGGUAAGUCCGCUGUGAAAGUCCAGGGCUCAACCCUGGGAUGCCGGUGGAUACUGUCGGGCUAGAGUGCGGAAGAGGCGAGUGGAAUUCCUGGUGUAGCGGUGAAAUGCGUAGAUAUCGAGAGGAACACCUGCGGCGAAGGCGGGUUGCUGGGCUGACACUGACGCUGAAGCGCGAAAGCUAGGGGAGCGAACGGG